UCCCCUUUUCGACUGAGGCUCACCGGUGCUGGGCAUUGUGGACACACGGGCCUUGGAGAGAAGCUCCAGGGACUGUUCCCUGCUGGAGACACUGUCGGAGGAGAAGCAGGAUUCCGUCUCGUAGAUCGUCUGCAACAUCGCGCACAGUCCCGGCACGAUGGGCCUCCAAAAGCAUGCCAGUGUCAAAGUGCUCUUACUCCACGCACCUCAAAAAUCUGUGUGUAAAAAAUAACUACCAAAGAGAAAGUCUCUCUGCAGGCCCCAAUGUGCUAUGAACUAACUAACUCCGCUGACUCCGACAAUCCAAAUCAACUAGUCAGUCGCACAAACAGUCUGACAGGGGAUUGUGCUGUAACGGGGAAAAAAGAAUGAAUCUUCACUUCAAAAAUGCACAGCAUGCUUCAUGCGCCUUCUGUCUCGUAAGAUACUUUGAUGUAGGAAAUUACACAUGGCCAUCCCUUUAACUUUCAUGGCCAAAAAACAAACAGAAGACGUCCAAAUAAAAACAGUUCAUCCAUCAAAAAAAAAAACAAACGAGCUAAAUUUCCUUAAAGGGGAUCAAGACCCUGCGGAGAUUCUAUUAUAGCGCCACAGGAAAUAUAUCUUCAGCCAAAACAGAGCUACAAAGUUACAAUCCAAAACAUCCUCCACAGUCCUGCUCUGCCUUUGGGGAAGGAGGUGGGUAGCGUCGCCGCGGAGACAGGCAGCCCGGCUGAAACAGGUAUUGCACAGGACUUGACUCAAUGAGAGGGACGAAUGCAAGUUACUCCUCAGCUUUGGUGGGGGUAAAAAAAAGACAGAAAGCUCACAGCGCAUAAGUCCCCUGAGCACGAGAGGAGUCUCUGCAGAGCGACUCAGUUCUGGUCAGAGUGAACACAGACGCAGCCACAAGUGAGGAGCGAGAGAGGGAAAGAGAGAAAGAGAGAGAGAGAGAGAGAGAGAGAGAAAGGGGAAAGAGAGAGAGAGCCAGACCUUAAGUAGAUCACUGGGAGACUGUGCCAGAUGACGCACCUGAGAACAGGAGAGUGAGUGAGAGGUAGAGAAACAUAUAUCAAGAGAGAUAGAGAGAAAGAAAGAGAGAGUGCUGGCCUCCUCCUCCUCCUCCUCCUCCCCCCCCUCUUUCUCUCUUGUUCUGCGUCUCGCGUUUCCUCCUCUUCUCUUCUCUGUCUGCGGAUCGGCACGCGUGCCGUGGGUCGCACGCAGACCCGAGAGCGGGAGAGCUGGUCACCGUGGAGACGGCAAAGCGAGCAAGGAGCGUUCCAGCCUCAGUGGAACUCUACCCGUUCACUCCCCUCUUAUCUGGUGUACAGAGUACCUAUGUGUCAAAAGUCUGUCUCUUCUUGUGUUGCCUUCUUAGUUGUGUGGCUUUUUGCAUGCAGGUUGCGUCGUUUGUGCCGCGUUGCUCGUUGCGAAUGUCGGACCCACACUCUCUCUCUCCCUCGGUCCUGCUGGAUGUGGAGACGCCGCAGAACGGCGGAGUUUACAAACACGGCGCUCUCUCUCUCUCUCUCUCUCUCUCUCUUACACAUACACACACACACUGACACUCUAUCUCUCUCUCACUGGUUUGCUUGCUCGCUCACACACUCUGCUCACAGCAGUCUGGAAAUAGAAGAGGCAAGGCAGUCCAGAGAGGCGGGGUCUGGCUAUAAAUAGAAGCGGGAGAGCGGAGAACUGAGAGAGAGGGCGCACAGAGAGACGAGAGGAGGAGAGGAAGAGAGGGGGAGGAACUGGAGGGGAGAAGAAUGGGGGGAGAGGAGGAGGAGGAGGAAGGGGAGAGGGAAACGGAGGG
ensembl:lncRNA